UUGACGCAUGGCUUGUAUUGUUAUCCUAUUCAAGGGAUGGAAACUGAAGUCACAUCUAGCCCACACAGUGGUGCCUGGCAGAUCGCCUCUCAGAAAGUGUUGUGUCUUAGUAAGAUGACAACUUAGAAGCCAUUAUUGGAACUGGUUGUGUUGGGAUUAUAGCCUCUCAGAAGUGCAGAAAUACCCUGUCCUAGUACUUCAUUUGCAGCUGCCUGUGGGUUGUGUGUCUGUGAUGCCUUCUCUUCCUGUUUGGUUUUGCUCUCGGAAUGCUGCCUAUUUCCAGUCACUCCCUGCACAGCGACGUUCCCAUCAUCUUUCACCAGCUGCACUGCCUGGCUGCUCGAUGGCUGGAGGGGGUGGGAUUCGGGCAUCGCUGUCUGUUUGCACACAGGGUGGACAGUUUCACCUGAACAAACAGCUUCAGAUAUUUCAGGACACACUAGGCAGGUCCCAGCAGCUAUGUGAGACCCACCCCCGCCAAGUGGAUUUGCCAAUCGGAUCAGCCCAUCACUAA
rnacentral:lncRNA from 1 species